rnacentral:tRNA from 1 species
ACUUGAAUAAGCUUAUAAUAUAGAGCUUAACAUUGAAGAUGUUAUUGAGAUUUUUAAUCUUCUAGUA